rnacentral:rRNA from 1 species
UCGAAACCUGCCCAGCAGAACGACUCGUGAACGUGUUUAUAAAACGAGGGGUCCAAAGCGGGCUUCUGCCAGCAUUGGCCCUUCACCGGGCCUUGAUCGGGGGAUUAGGGUGCGGAGGCCUCGCCUUCCCCGACGUUCCUCGGUCUUUGCCUUCUAACAAUCCCCCGGCGCGGAAAGCGCCAAGGAAUUACAAACGAAAAUAGCGGCCGCCCUGAUUGCCCCGRAAACGGUGUGCAAAAGGGACGUGUUGUGAUUUGAGAAUCUAAACGACUCUCGGCAACGGAUAUCUCGGCUCUCGCAUCGAUGAAGAACGCAGCGAAAUGCGAUACUUGGUGUGAAUUGCAGGAUCCCGCGAACCAUCGAGUUUUUGAACGCAAGUUGCGCCCGAAGCCUUUUGGCCGAGGGCACGCCUGCCUGGGUGUCACUCAACCGUCGCCCCAACCCUCUUCUUGGAAUGGGUUUAAAUCGGGCGGAAGAUGGCUUCCCGUUUGCUCUUUGCAUGCGGUUGGCCCAAAUGUCCGGUCCUCGGCAUCGUCGCCACGGCAAUCGGUGGUUGUAUGACCCUCGCUAAAUGCUAUGAGCGAUCCAGUGCUGGAGCGACUUACGAGGCCCCAAAGCGAAUCGGAAGAGACGCUCGCAAUGCGACC